AGUGGAAGCCAAUAUCCACCACCUCUCAUUCGAUGAAAUUGCAACUGGAUCUGGCUAAUUCAUGCUUUAUUGAUUUUGAGGAUAAUCGGCGAUGUGCGGGUUAAGACGUGAUUUGGUUGUCACAACUUACAGCGAUGUUUGAUUGGGAAGACGAAGAGAUUACAAGUAUUAUAUGGGGGAAGGAAGGUGAAAAUGAAGAUCACAUUGAAACUUAUGGAGAAAACAGUAAGGUGUCAGACCAGGAAGCAGCAAAUGUGAAGAAGAUUACUCAAAAGACAACUGAAUCUAAACAUAUAACUGAUUCAGGACAACGGAAUAAUAAUAAUAAUACAAAAUAUUACACACAUGGAUUUGGUUCAGUGCUUGAUUUGUCUUCAUCAAAACUGGCUAAUGAAAACACUGAUGAAAAGGCUCAAGUAGAUAAUGGUUUUGACGAUGACAAAGAGGGAGGUAAUUUCGUUGAUUAUGGUUGGGCCAAUUUGGGGACCUUUGAUGAUCUUGAUAGAAUAAUAAGCAACCAUAACCUAGAGUUGUGGUCAUCUACUAAGGAUGUUAUUGGUUGUCCAGUCGACUCCCUGAGUUUGAAUUCAAGGGAUUUAAAGAGUAACUAUCAGCAUCUUGGACCUAAAUCAGGAGUUAUAAAUGCACAAAAGAAGUGUGCACAGGUGAAAAAAGAAUGGGAAGGACAGUAUAGCCAACAGAGCAAAAUAUCUUCGGUUAGAAAUCAAGAAACUGAGUCUUCUGGGUACACACACUUGAUAAAUGCAUUUCCGUCUCCUCAUGUUUCAGACAAAACUUCUUUGAGCAUGACACCUCAGGAAAAGAUUGAAAAACUAAGGAGGCGCCAGCAAAUGCGCGCUUUGCUCGCUAUUCGUAAACAACAACAGAAGAUUAGACAGCAAGAUGAUUAUUCAAAUCUUCAAUUGUGUUCACAAUAUCCAAGUCUGAGCAGUCUUGAUGUGAGUUCACCUCUUGAUUCAGAUGCACGGCCUGUGAUGAUGGAUAAAACCGCAUUGGCAGAUACUGCGGUACACCAAUUUCAAAAUGUCAUUGCCGGGUUGGGCAUUCAAUUGAGGCUUUGUAUCAGAGAUAGCUUGAUUCGUUUGGCUCAAGGUGCUUUGCAGAGAAAAUAUGAUGCUACCACCAACAAAAUAACCAAUACUGUUGUCAUGGAAGGAGUAAGCAGUGCAAAAAGGCCCACGCUUUAUUUGCGCCUUCCGCCUAGGCCCCAGGCGAGGCCUAUGCGCCUUGGGUGCGCCUAACGCCUUUAAUAACUAUGGUGAUAUCUCGUCGAGUCUCCUGAUUUUUAGGAUUAGAACCCACUGGAGUGUUGAUCGACUUCAUUCUAAUUUCUUCAAUGAUAUCUAAGGCAUACUUCCUUGAGCUCAGCAAAAACACCAGAUGCAGAGACAAAGACAAAUCCUAUAGACCGUGUUGUGGCGCGCUUGCUUUUUCACACGCCAACCGGGGAACUUGUGCGGUCACCAACAAUGAAACUUCAUAAUGAGCACCACAGAGAUAAUCAGGUAUCUUGCAAUAAAACAGCUGAUGUUAGUCGAAAAGAGACCCAAGGAUCUUCACUUCUUUGAUGUUCUUCAGGGGUAUUCCUUCAUUUUCUUGAGGUUGAUAAAUGUGUGUGCUUUAUAUAUAUACACUCAAACUCAUAGGGGAGGGAUCUAUUCGUAACAUUAUAUAUUACCAGGAGGAGAUGCACAACAAAAUGAACCCUUUAUUUCUAAUCUAAAAAGAAAUUGGUUUAAUUGCAA